rnacentral:rRNA from 1 species
ACGCUCGACACCUACGGAGGCAGCAGUGGGGAAUAUUGGGCAAUGGGCGCAAGCCUGACCCAGCAACGCCGCGUGAAGGAAGAAGGCCCUCGGGUUGUAAACUUCUUUUGUCAGGGACGAAGCAAGUGACGGUACCUGACGAAUAAGCCACGGCUAACUACGUGCCAGCAGCCGCGGUAAUCUGAGCGGGCUGGCAAGGC